rnacentral:lncRNA from 1 species
GGAGAUUUCAUUCGUGAUGAGCCAAUAGUAGAACGACAGAUGGAGAAGAGACAUCAUGCCUUUUCAUGCGCGACAACUCAGGGUUGAACUUAGAAAUGAACUGAGCGUUGGGAGAAAAGUAAAUGAAUUAUUUCUUUUUUCCAUGGCAACGCAUGGGCAUUGUCCUAGUCUCUCCCUAAUAAUAAGCAAAUACGGUUUCUGGUCGUCCGUCGUGGCUGUUUUG